rnacentral:rRNA from 1 species
CCUACGGGCGGCAGCAGUGGGGAAUAUUGGACAAUGGGGGCAACCCUGAUCCAGCCAUGCCGCGUGUGUGAAGAAGGCCCGCGGGUUGUAAAGCACUUUCAGUGAGGAAGAACGCCUGGUGGUUAAUACCCAUCAGGAAAGACAUCACUCACAGAAGAAGCACCGGCUAACUCCGUGCCAGCAGCCGCGGUAAUACGGAUGGUGCGAGCGUUAAUCGGAAUUACUGGGCGUAAAGCGCGCGUAGGUGGCUUGAUAAGCCGGUUGUGAAAGCCCCGGGCUCAACCUGGGAACGGCAUCCGGAACUGUCAAGCUAGAGUGCAGGAGAGGAAGGUAGAAUUCCCGGUGUAGCGGUGAAAUGCGUAGAGAUCGGGAGGAAUACCAGUGGCGAAGGCGGCCUUCUGGACUGACACUGACACUGAGGUGCGAAAGCGUGGGUAGCAAACAGGAUUAGAUACCCCGGUAGUC